GAAAAGGCAUCUAAAUCAUAUUACUGAGCAGAAAAGGCCUCAGGGGAAAUAGCACGUGAACUGAGCUUCCAAGAAGUCAGGGUUAUUUAGAUCAAAGAUAGGGUGGAGGCGGGCGGCAUUCUGGGUUUCAAGAAAACAGUCCAUGAGAAGGCAUGGUGGCACACACAAGCAUCACACGUCUGGGAAGUACAGCUUUCAUGUGGCUGCAGUACACUUGGCAAUAUUUGGCGAGAAAAGGAGGAUUCUAAUCCCCAAGGGCCCUUUUUAUCCAGGGAAUAGCAUUUCAAGGUUCAGUGGAGGAGAACCCCAAGAGCACCAAAAUGGAAAGAUGAUUUGUAAAGCUGAGGAAAAUGUCCAGCUGUGUUUUUAUGAGGACUCUCACUGCACUGAUAUGACAGAUGACACCUUCCCUCAACACUGUUCAUCAUUGACUGCUGAGGGCUCCUUCUUCAGUUUAUAACAGGAUGGUAACUUCAUAAGCAAUGUAGGACUUUCACAGGGUUCCACACGAAGCGUGUCUGGAUAAUUCAGCCAAGCUCUUCAGUCUCCAGCAGUGAUGGAAUCAGGAGCUCGCUUGGCCAGCCCUCUAAUGACUCAGUCACAGGGUCAUCCACUUGGGGGUGUGAGGAGAGGAGGCUUCUCCCCGCAAGUGCUUUCGGGGUGAUGCCGUAGAUUCUUUGUACCUCAGGAGUUACUUUUGCAAUUAGAGGUUCUCUCUCUCUCUUGGUAUUUUAUGCAUCUAAUUCUGCUUUUCUAUGCAUGAGUCUUGUCGGAUUCAGGCACAGCAAUAAGUCUCCAAAAUAGGGUCAGAGUGAGUUUAAUGAAGAAGUUAUUGUUUUCUUAAGGAUGAAAAUAAACAGAGAGAAUGCCUUAUUACAUAA
rnacentral:lncRNA from 1 species